rnacentral:rRNA from 1 species
AGUGAACGCUGGCGGUAGGCCUAACACAUGCAAGUCGAACGGCAGCACAGUAAGAGCUUGCUCUUACGGGUGGCGAGUGGCGGACGGGUGAGGAAUACAUCGGAAUCUACUUUUUCGUGGGGGAUAACGUAGGGAAACUUACGCUAAUACCGCAUACGACCUACGGGUGAAAGCAGGGGAUCUUCGGACCUUGCGUGAUUGAAUGAGCCGAUGUCGGAUUAGCUAGUUGGCGGGGUAAAGGCCCACCAAGGCGACGAUCCGUAGCUGGUCUGAGAGGGUGAUCAGCCACACUGGAACUGAGACACGGUCCAGACUCCUACGGGAGGCAGCAGUGGGGAAUAUUGGACAAAGGGCGCAAGCCUGAUCCAGCCAUACCGCGUGGGUGAAGAAGGCCUUCGGGUUGUAAAGCCCUUUUGUUGGGAAAGAAAAGCAGCAGGUUAAUACCCCGCUGUUCUGACGGUACCCAAAGAAUAAGCACCGGCUAACUUCGUG